GCGCCCGUAGCUCAGAAGGAAAGAGCGGAGGUUUCCUAAACCUUGUCUGUCGGGGGUUCGAGUCCCCCCGGGCGCACCA
rnacentral:tRNA from 1 species